UAUUGCUCAAUGGGAGAAAUCCUGAAGCAGCAACGCCGCGUGGAGGAUGAAGGGUCUAUGACUUGUAAACUCCUGUAAAGAAGGAAAAAAUUCCCAUUUGAUGGGAGAGGAUGGUACUUCUGGAGUAAGCCCCGGCUAACUACGUGCCAGCAGCCGCGGUAAUACGUCGGGGGCAAGCGUUGUCCGGAUUUACUGGGUGUAAAGGGUGCUCAGGCGGAUUUGUAAGUCAGAGGUGAAAUCUUACAGCUUAACUGUGAAACUGCCUUUGAAACUGCAAGCCUAGAGUAUGGAAGAGAGUGAUGGAAUAUCUGGUGUAGCAGGGAAAUUCGUAGAGAUCAGAUAGAACACCAAUGGCGAAGGCAGUCACUUGGUCCAUUACUGACGCUAAAGCACGAAAGCGUGGGUAGCAA
rnacentral:rRNA from 1 species